rnacentral:rRNA from 1 species
UCUACGGGAGGCAGCAGUGGGGAAUAUUGCACAAUGGGCGCAAGCCUGAUGCAGCGACGCCGCGUGGGGGAUGACGGCCUUCGGGUUGUAAACUCCUUUCGCUAGGGACGAAGCUUGUUUGUGACGGUACCUGGAGAAGAAGCACCGGCUAACUACGUGCCAGCAGCCGCGGUAAUACGUAGGGUGCGAGCGUUGUCCGGAAUUACUGGGCGUAAAGAGCUCGUAGGUGGUUUGUCGCGUCGUUUGUGUAAGCCCGCAGCUUAACUGCGGGACUGCAGGCGAUACGGGCAUAACUUGAGUGCUGUAGGGGAGACUGGAAUUCCUGGUGUAGCGGUGGAAUGCGCAGAUAUCAGGAGGAACACCGAUGGCGAAGGCAGGUCUCUGGGCAGUAACUGACGCUGAGGAGCGAAAGCAUGGGUAGCGAACAGGAUUAGAUACCCUGGUAGUCCAUGCCGUAAACGGUGGGCGCUAGGUGUGAGUCCCUUCCACGGGGUUCGUGCCGUAGCUAACGCAUUAAGCGCCCCGCCUGGGGAGUACGGCCGCAAGGCUAAAACUCAAAGGAAUUGACGGA